rnacentral:rRNA from 1 species
AGAGUUUGAUCAUGGCUCAGGAUGAACGCUGGCGGCGUGCUUAACACAUGCAAGUCGAACGGUGAAGCCCAGCUUGCUGGGUGGAUCAGUGGCGAACGGGUGAGUAACACGUGAGCAAUCUGCCCCUGACUCUGGGAUAAGCGCUGGAAACGGUGUCUAAUACUGGAUAUGAGCUGCGACCGCAUGGUCAGUAGUUGGAAAGAUUUUUCGGUCAGGGAUGAGCUCGCGGCCUAUCAGCUUGUUGGUGAGGUAAUGGCUCACCAAGGCGUCGACGGGUAGCCGGCCUGAGAGGGUGACCGGCCACACUGGGACUGAGACACGGCCCAGACUCCUACGGGAGGCAGCAGUGGGGAAUAUUGCACAAUGGGCGGAAGCCUGAUGCAGCAACGCCGCGUGAGGGAUGACGGCCUUCGGGUUGUAAACCUCUUUUAGCAGGGAAGAAGCGAAAGUGACGGUACCUGCAGAAAAAGCGCCGGCUAACUACGUGCCAGCAGCCGCGGUAAUACGUAGGGCGCAAGCGUUAUCCGGAAUUAUUGGGCGUAAAGAGCUCGUGGGCGGUUUGUCGCGUCUGCUGUGAAAUCCCGAGGCUCAACCUCGGGCCUGCAGUGGGUACGGGCAGACUAGAGUGCGGUAGGGGAGAUUGGAAUUCCUGGUGUAGCGGUGGAAUGCGCAGAUAUCAGGAGGAACACCGAUGGCGAAGGCAGAUCUCUGGGCCGUAACUGACGCUGAGGAGCGAAAGGGUGGGGAGCAAACAGGCUUAGAUACCCUGGUAGUCCACCCCGUAAACGUUGGGAACUAGUUGUGGGGUCCAUUCCACGGAUUCCGUGACGCAGCUAACGCAUUAAGUUCCCCGCCUGGGGAGUACGGCCGCAAGGCUAAAACUCAAAGGAAUUGACGGGGACCCGCACAAGCGGCGGAGCAUGCGGAUUAAUUCGAUGCAACGCGAAGAACCUUACCAAGGCUUGACAUAUACGAGAACGGGCCAGAAAUGGUCAACUCUUUGGACACUCGUAAACAGGUGGUGCAUGGUUGUCGUCAGCUCGUGUCGUGAGAUGUUGGGUUAAGUCCCGCAACGAGCGCAACCCUCGUUCUAUGUUGCCAGCACGUAAUGGUGGGAACUCAUGGGAUACUGCCGGGGUCAACUCGGAGGAAGGUGGGGAUGACGUCAAAUCAUCAUGCCCCUUAUGUCUUGGGCUUCACGCAUGCUACAAUGGCCGGUACAAAGGGCUGCAAUACCGUGAGGUGGAGCGAAUCCCAAAAAGCCGGUCCCAGUUCGGAUUGAGGUCUGCAACUCGACCUCAUGAAGUCGGAGUCGCUAGUAAUCGCAGAUCAGCAACGCUGCGGUGAAUACGUUCCCGGGUCUUGUACACACCGCCCGU